GGUAGCACAUUUUUAUUGUGCACAAUUUAGAAAUUUGAAGCAGUAUGAGAAUGCAGGGAAAUCUCUUAGCCCGCCACACAGAAAAUCACUUGUCCUGGAGACCCUUAGCAUUGUCAGCCUUACUCACGUCCCCUUGUUCCUAAGUGGUCAUUUUCUCUACCGAGUUCUGGAAUUAUGAAGGAAGUAAUCAUAUCUACUGCAUCAGGGUCUUGUAAGGAUUGAAUGAUUGAAUUUACUGCACAGUGCCUGCAUGAAGAAAGAUUCUCAUUUUGCUAAGAUUUCUUCCACCGCUCUUAAGCUUCUGAUUACGCAGAAGCUGGAUUAACUAUCUCACAGUAGCAUGGUAGAUAGCCCGAGGCAGAGAGACCUAAAAGUCCUGUUUCUGAGUCACCACCAGAGAAAGAGGAAUGAUUAAAAGAACAAUGAACAAGUACAGGAUAACUGGAUCCACAGGAAGAGACUUAAUUUUAGAGUUGGGCUGGCAUAAAAAGAGCAGAACCUUUCAUGGGACCAGGAAGUCUCCAAGAGAAUUGGAAGUUUGAACAAUGAAUGGAUGCAAAAUAGAGCCUGCUGCCAAAAGAGAGGUGAGUGUGGGGGUGUACAGGGCAGAAUAUAUAUGAUACAUAAAUCAUAUCUCCAAAUCUUUGAUGAGUACAACUUUCACUUAUUCAUGUUCCAUCAAAUGAGGUUAAAAUUUUCCAUUAAAAAAUUUAUUUCAUUGAAUUGUUUAACCAAUACUCAUUUUACGUUCAAAGGCCAGUAUAGCUUUCACAAAGUGACAGAAGCCUGUAGCCCAUAUAUAGACAGCAUUUAAUCCAUAUGUGAAAAUUCAGGAGCAUUCCAGGAAGCAUCCUAGAUUUCUCCCAAAUGUGAUCUGGCAUGUUCAAUUUACAUACUCAUAAAAAUUCACUCAUCCUCGGAAAAUGUAAAACACACUUAAGUAUGAUGACCAGAUAGAUGAAUGCUUAUUGGUUUUUUUUUUACAUGAAAAAUAAAAGAGCACAUGAUUUUUAAAUGUCCAGAACUCUCAUUACUUGGGCUUUGGUGUUUAUUUUGAUGAGAGAAUCAAUAUUAAUAGUGUAUUGGGCAUUAGCAAGGGAAAAAAGGUCAUGAGGAUUGCAGCUCAGAAGCUGAUCUCUCUGAAAUCAGAGAAAAGGCUUUUAAGGUGAUCAAGAUUUCCUUUUCUCCAAAACCCCUCAGGAAAGUGAGGUCCAAAAAAACCUCAGGAAGCUAGAUAACUUCCUGAUCCUCAGUUCUCUCCUGCAAAAAAAAAAAAAAAAAAAAAAAAAGAUUAUUAUCUAUAACUUACAGAGAUGUUGUAAGGAAUAAAAUAAUACACUUGAAGUGCUUAGCAUGUGGUGUAACACAUAGUAGGCCCUCCAGUGUGUAUCUACCAACCCAUUAACUAGCAGUGUGGUGACUAGCAACUGGGAAAUGUUGAUAAUGGGUUUUCUUUCUGUCUAGGUCACUGAACAAAAUGUAUGCAAUAAUUCCACAUCUGUCACUUAAAUAAAAUACAUCAGCAGGUUGAGAAAUCUAACUUGGUGAUUUUUACUGAAUAAAAUUCUAUAUACAGUCAGAAGCUUAUUUUAGCAGACACCUGAAGAAGGGCCUCCUUGGCAGGGCAAGGGUAGAGAAUUUCAGUCCAGAUCUUUAAAUGUUCCUAUGUUCUCUCACCCAUUCCACAAAUUAUUCAUUGAGUAUUUGCUAAGUGUUAAGCAUUGUGUAUGGACUGAGGAAUACAAGCCCAUAAAAUAGACACAGUCCAGACUCAAAACUAUCCUACUACAACUUAUAAGACUUCUUGCUGGGUGUGGUGACUCUCAUCUAUAAUCCUAGCACUUUGGGAGGUCAAGGCAGGCAGAUUGCUUGAGCCCAAGAGUUUGAGACUAGCCUGGGCAACAUGGUGAAACCCCAUCUCUAUAAAAAAUACAAAAAUUAGCUGGGUGUGGUGGCACAUGCUUAUAGUCCCAGCUACUUAGGAGGUGAGGUGCGAGGAUAGCUUGAGCCUGGGAGGAUGAGGCUGCCGUGAGCUGCGAUUGCACCCCUGCAGCAGCGUGGGCAACAGAGUGAGACACUGUCUUGAAAAGGAAAAAGAAAAAAGACUUCUUCAUUCACUUGGAUGUCUCUCAAGUAAUCUCUGCCUUCAUUACACCCAAAACUGAACUCCACUCACACUGAGAAACCUAUUUCUGUAGGAUAUCCCAUUUCGACCUUGCCAUCCACAUAGUUCUUCAAUGUCCACCCAGUCUUAGGCCUGUCUCUCUUCUCAUUCAUCCAUGCUAAAAGUUUUAAUUAAUAUUUAUGUAGAUGACUCCUAAAUUCAUAUUUCCAGCUCAUAUCUCUCCCCUCUAAACUCCAGACAAGAAAAUACAAGUGACUACUUGAACACUUUGUUUAGAUCUAGCAAAGCCACCUCAAACUAACAGGCAGAAAACCAAACUCAUGCUGCCCCUAUCCCUCCUAGUCACAUAGCAAGCCCCAACAAAACCUGCUGUUCCAAUGCUAGCUAUUUCAGUGAAGAGCACCACAGUGCAUCACGGUGUGUGAGUCAUGAAGCCUCUCCUCUGCCACACUCUCCAUAUUGAGUUCAGCCCAAGUCCUUGUGAAUUCCAUUUCUCAAAUUCUCCCAGAAUCUGCCCACUUCUCUCAAUCCCCACUGUGACCCCUGCCUACCUCUCGGUCUCAUUCUGUCAAAGGUGUGUGAGUCAGAGCAACUCCAUCUUAAACAGAGCUGGGUAAAAUGAGGCUGAAACCUACUGGGCUGCAUUCCCAGAUGGUUAAGGCAUUCGGAUAAGACGGGCGGUCAGCACAAAAUACAGGUCAUAAAGACAUUGCUGAUAAAAGGUUGCAGUAAUGGAGCCAGCUAAAAUCCACUGAAACCAAAAUGGCAACAAGAGUGACCUCUGGUCAUCCUCACUGCUACACUCUCACCAGCGCCAUGACAGUUUACAAAUGCCAUGGCAAGAUCAGAAAGUUACCCUAUAUGGUCUAAAAAGGGGAGGCAUGAAUAAUCCACUGUUGUUUAGCAUAUCAUCAAGAAAUAACUAUAAAAAUAGGCAACCAGCAGCCCCCGGGGCUGCUCUGUCUAUGGAGUAGCCAUUCUUUUAUUCCUUUUUUUUCUUAAUAAACUUGCUUUCACUUUGCACUGUGGACUUGCCCUGAAUUCUUUCUUGCGUGAGAUCCAAGAACCCUCUCUUGGAGUCUGGAUCAGGACCCCUGUCCUGUAACAUCUUCCUGGCGACCAUAAAGGGACUAUAGUGAGAAAACCCUGACUCAAUGGCUACCUUUGGGUAAAUGUUGGGGUCCUGUAACAUCUUUCUGGCAAUGACAGAAGUGACUAUACUGCGGAAACCCCUGACCCAACAAAAGCUAACUUUGGGUAAGUGGUGGGGUCUGGUAACAUCUUUCUCACGAACCACAAAAGGGACAAUACUGAGGAGACCCUCCGACGCAAAGGAAAUAGACUGGAGCACUGAUUGGACAACUUUGGCUUGGCCCCCAGGGUGAUGGUGCUGCAGGCUGGAUCACUGGGGGCCGCUCAGGGAAAGGGAAUCCAGAAGCCUGGCAUGCUGACAAAAGGAUAUUGCCUUUUCUCAAAACUCAAGAGUUAUGAAUGGACCUUACCAUACUGAUGCUUUCUGACUGAGCUCCUGUCUACUCUGAAUGCAAGAAACCCUCAUAGUUAGGCAGGAAUAUCAUAAUCGCUAUUCAGCUUGAAGAAGUUAAAGAAGACGGAUCUUCGUCCCUCUGCAACCCUUACGAUUAAGAGUUCUCUUAUAAAAGGGCGGGAGGAAACAACAGAGGUGUGUGAACAAGAGCAACUCCAUCUUAAAUAGGAGCUGGGUAAAAUGAGGCUGAAACCUACCUGGCUGCAUUCCCAAACAGUUAAGGCAUUCUAAGUCACAGGAUGAGAUAGCAGGUCAGCACAAAAUAAAGGUCAUAACAACCCUGCUGACAAAACAGGUUGCAGUAAAGGAGCCAGCCAAAACACACCCAAACCAAAAUGGCAACAAAAGUGACCUCUGGUCAUCCUCACUGCUACACUCCCACCAGUGCCAUGACAGUUUACAAAUGCCAUGGCAACAUCAGGAAGUAACCCUAUAUGGUCUAAAAAGGGGAGGCAUUAAUAAUCCACCCCUUGUUUAGCAUAUCAGCAAGAAAUAAACAUAAAAAUGGGCAACCAGCAGCCCCAAGGGGUUGGCUAUGGAAUAGCCAUUCUUUCAUUUCUUUACUUUCUUAACAAACUUGCUUUCAUUUUGUACUGUGGGAUCACCCUGAAUUCUUUCUUGCAUGAGAGCCAAAAACCCUCUUGGGGUCUGGAUCAAGACCCCUGUCCUAUAACAAUCCCACUCUGUUCUCUCUGUUCUUUGUGCUCCAGCCACACUGACUCUCUUUUGUUCCCUUACCACAACAUGCUUCCUCCAGCAAUAAGGUGGCUGCCACACUGCUCCAUCUGCUGGGACCCUCCCCCGCCCCAAUGCCUCCUGUAUCACUUUCUUGGGGAAUUUCUCCCUGACU